rfam:Tupaia chinensis contig2513, whole genome shotgun sequence.
CUGCAACCAGUUAAACUGACUAUGCCCCUUUCCUUGUGGGGGACUGGUGUGCAGUGGCUGCAAACAGCAGCCUCUUGAGCUGUAUAUGCAGUGGUUGUUUGUACCAGGGGCUGAUCUAAAGGGCCUUGGGGACAGCC